rnacentral:rRNA from 1 species
GAACGCUGGCGGCAGCCUAACACAUGCAAGUCGAACGGCAGCACAGAGGAGCUUGCUCCUUGGGUGGCGAGUGGCGGACGGGUGAGGAAUACGUCGGAAUCUGCCUAUUUGUGGGGGAUAACGUAGGGAAACUUACGCUAAUACCGCAUACGACCUACGGGUGAAAGUGGGGGACCUUCGGGCCUCACGCAGAUAGAUGAGCCGACGUCGGAUUAGCUAGUUGGCGGGGUAAAGGCCCACCAAGGCGACGAUCCGUAGCUGGUCUGAGAGGAUGAUCAGCCACACUGGAACUGAGACACGGUCCAGACUCCUACGGGAGGCAGCAGUGGGGAAUAUUGGACAAUGGGCGCAAGCCUGAUCCAGCCAUGCCGCGUGUGUGAAGAAGGCCUUCGGGUUGUAAAGCACUUUUGUCCGGAAAGAAAAGCUUAGGGUUAAUAACCCUGAGUCAUGACGGUACCGGAAGAAUAAGCACCGGCUAACUUCGUGCCAGCAGCCGCGGUAAUACGAAGGGUGCAAGCGUUACUCGGAAUUACUGGGCGUGAAGCGUGCGUAGGUGGUUUGUUAAGUCUGAUGUGAAAGCCCUGGGCUCAACCUGGGAAUGGCAUUGGAAACUGGCUUACUAGAGUGCGGUAGAGGGUAGUGGAAUUCCCGGUGUAGCAGUGAAAUGCGUAGAUAUCGGGAGGAACAUCUGUGGCGAAGGCGACUACCUGGACCAGCACUGACACUGAGGCACGAAAGCGUGGGGAGCAAACAGGAUUAGAUAUCCUGGUAGUCCACGCCCUAAACGAUGCGAACUGGAUGUUGGGGGCAACUUGGCCCUCAGUAUCGAAGCUAACGCGUUAAGUUCGCC